GUAGGUGAACCUGCGGAGGGAUCAUUGCUGGAACGCGCUUCGGCGCACCCAGAAACCCUUUGUGAACUUAUACCUACUGUUGCCUCGGCGCAGGCCGGCCUCUUCACUGAGGCCCCCUGGAGACAGGGAGCAGCCCGCCGGCGGCCAACUAAACUCUUGUUUCUUUAGUGAAUCUCUGAGUAAAAAACAUAAAUGAAUCAAAACUUUCAACAACGGAUCUCUUGGUUCUGGCAUCGAUGAAGAACGCAGCGAAAUGCGAUAAGUAAUGUGAAUUGCAGAAUUCAGUGAAUCAUCGAAUCUUUGAACGCACAUUGCGCCCUCUGGUAUUCCGGAGGGCAUGCCUGUUCGAGCGUCAUUUCAACCCUCAAGCCUGGCUUGGUGAUGGGGCACUGCCUGUAAAAGGGCAGGCCCUGAAAUCUAGUGGCGAGCUCGCCAGGACCCCGAGCGUAGUAGUUAUAUCUCGCUCUGGAAGGCCCUGGCGGUGCCCUGCCGUUAAACCCCCAACUUCUGAAAAUUUGACCUCGGAUCAGGUAGGAAUACCCGCUGAACUUAAGCAUAUCAAUAAGCGGAG
rnacentral:rRNA from 1 species